AGCUCUCUCUAGUACGAGAGGACCGAGAGGGACAGACCUCUGGUGUGCCAGUUGUUCCGCCAGGAGCACCGCUGGGUAGCCACGUCUGGAUCGGAUAAGCGCUGAAAGCAUCUCAAGUGCGAAGCCGACCCCAAGAUAAGAUCUGCCAUCCUUCCCGCAAGGGAAGGGGUAAGACCGCAGCGAGACUAGCUGUUUGAUAGGCGGCGUGUGUAAGCGCAGUAAUGCGUUCAGCUAAGCCGUACUAACGGUCGAGGGCUUGACCUG
rnacentral:rRNA from 1 species